GAAAUGCGAUACGUAGUGUGAAUUGCAGAAUUCCGUGAAUCAUUGAGUUUUUGUACGCAAGUUGCGCCCGAGGCUUGUCGGAGGGCAUUUCCGCUAGAGCGUCACCGCGCCCCCCCACCACACUCCCCAAGUUGGGAGUUUGAGUGGAACUGGCAAUCCCGGAUUCGGGUCGGCUGAAAUAGAGGGAAUUUGGCCGCCGUGGCAUCACUUACCCCGCGAUCAGGUGUGAUUUCGAAAGUUAUCUUCCAAGUGCGGGGCUCCCAGUGAGCCCGAGUACGUACGAGUUCCACAGCAGGCUACCUUUACCACUUAGGCCAGCAAUGGCCCGAGACACGAAGGGAAGAGGUAACGCAUCAGACCUCUAAUCGGAAAACACUACCCGCCAAGUUUAA
rnacentral:misc_RNA from 1 species